UAUUAUCCUCCAAAUGCCUGCAGUACCUGUCAUGAGAGCAUUCCUGAUAUGCACAAUGUGUGCUUUGUAUCAUUUCAUCGUGAUUAGUCUUGCUAGGGGCUGAUCAAUCUUAUUAAACUUUAUAAAGAACUAAUUUGUGACUGUUUAUUUUCAGUAUGUUUUCUAUUUCACUUACUUCUGCCUUUAUCUUUGUUAUUUCCUUUCUGCUAUUGACUUUGGCUAUAAAUUGCUCUUCUUUUUAUAGCUUCUUAAAGUGGAAGCUUAAGAUUGCUGAUUUCCGGCUGUUGUUGUGCUAACACAGACGCUGAAACUAUACAUGUGUUAGCUGCUUCCCCACAAUUCGAAAUGUCGUGUUUUCGUUAUCACUCAGACCAAGUUUCUGAAGGUCAGAAGUCUGAGCAUCCUGUAACUGAGUCUCCUGCUCAGCUCACUUCUAAGAGCUCCCCGAGAUACUCUCUUAUUUUAUGUCCCUGAAUGAACUCAAAGUCCGUGAAGUACACACCUGAGGAAGUGCUUCUCCCACCUGAACGUGAAUGAGGGUCCUGAAGGGCUUGCUUGUAAUGUGCACUCCUGGGCCUUAUGCAGGAGGGGUGAUCUCCUGCUUUCAUCCCAUACUGAAGUGCUCUCCCUGGAGUUGCAGGACCGAGUUACUGCUGCCUUCAUCCCCACUGUCCACGGUGGCGGAUGCACCGCACUGUAAUUUACCUUGAAGGCUAUGUGGAAAUACAGUGACUCCGUCCCCGUGGACAUGUGGAGCACUGUGGUUGUGCAUGAUUUGAGUGCCUGCGGCAUGCUCACCAGGAAGGACACCUAGAGAAGCCAAGUUUGCUCUCGAGGAAGGUUCCAAUCAGAGUGACACUGGUGAAACGAAGCAAGGAUUUGGGGAAAGAGAACAUGUGUUGCUUUAGACUAAUACUGUCUGGCUUUGAUUUCAAGUUUGAUAAUUUUGCUGGGCAAUUGCUAGUGAGAGCCCCACACCAAGACUCUCACGGUAAGUUGUUCAUUGAAAAGGCACUGCACUGACUUACACAUGAAUCAAAACACUAAACUGUACCCCAUACACAUGCACAAUUACAAUGUGUCAAUUAAAAUAAAUAAAUAAAAGUUUUCUUAAGGACGGUGCA